GAUAAACGCUGGCGGCGUGCCUAAUACAUGCAAGUCGAACGGGAUUGGUUGAACGCAAGUGAUGCCAGUCUAGUGGCGGACGGCUGAGUAACGCGUGGGUGACCUGCCCUGAAGUGGGGAAUAACGGUUCGAAAGAAUCGCUAAAACCGCAUGUGGUCGUGGCUUCGUUGUUACGACUAAAACCGCAAGGUGCUUCGGGAGGGGCCUGCGUCCGAUUAGCUUGUUGGUGGGGUAAUGGCCUACCAAGGCUACGAUCGGUAGCUGGUCUGAGAGGAUGAUCAGCCAGACUGGGACUGAGAACGGCCCAGACUCCUACGGGAGGCUG
rnacentral:rRNA from 1 species